rnacentral:rRNA from 1 species
GAUGAACGCUGGCGGCGUGCCUAAUACAUGCAAGUCGAGCGAACAGACGAGGAGCUUGCUCCUCUGACGUUAGCGGCGGACGGGUGAGUAACACGUGGAUAACCUACCUAUAAGACUGGGAUAACUUCGGGAAACCGGAGCUAAUACCGUAUAAUAUAUUGAACCGCAUGGUUCAAUAGUGAAAGACGGUUUUGCUGUCACUUAUAGAUGGAUCCGCGCCGCAUUAGCUAGUUGGUAAGGUAACGGCUUACCAAGGCAACGAUGCGUAGCCGACCUGAGAGGGUGAUCGGCCACACUGGAACUGAGACACGGUCCAGACUCCUACGGGAGGCAGCAGUAGGGAAUCUUCCGCAAUGGGCGAAAGCCUGACGGAGCAACGCCGCGUGAGUGAUGAAGGUCUUCGGAUCGUAAAACUCUGUUAUUAGGGAAGAACAAAUGUGUAAGUAAAUAUGCACGUCUUGACGGUACCUAAUCAGAAAGCCACGGCUAACUACGUG